UGAAGUGGGGAGGGGGCUCUGUCAGGCAUUGGCUGUCGGGCUACCUGGGGGUCUCCUUCCUACAG
rnacentral:miRNA from 14 species